rnacentral:rRNA from 1 species
AGUGAACGCUGGCGGUAGGCCUAACACAUGCAAGUCGAACGGCAGCACAGUAAGAGCUUGCUCUUACGGGUGGCGAGUGGCGGACGGGUGAGGAAUACAUCGGAAUCUACUUUUUCGUGGGGGAUAACGUAGGGAAACUUACGCUAAUACCGCAUACGACCUACGGGUGAAAGCAGGGGAUCUUCGGACCUUGCGCGAUUGAAUGAGCCGAUGUCGGAUUAGCUAGUUGGCGGGGUAAAGGCCCACCAAGGCGACGAUCCGUAGCUGGUCUGAGAGGAUGAUCAGCCACACUGGAACUGAGACACGGUCCAGACUCCUACGGGAGGCAGCAGUGGGGAAUAUUGGACAAAGGGCGCAAGCCUGAUCCAGCCAUACCGCGUGGGUGAAGAAGGCCUUCGGGUUGUAAAGCCCUUUUGUUGGGAAAGAAAAGCAGCAGGUUAAUACCCCGCUGUCCUGACGGUACCCAAAGAAUAAGCACCGGCUAACUUCGUG